ACGGGGUCACCCGAGUGCCAUCCGCUGAGGGUGGCUUUUGCCCGGUGUAAUGAGCCGGGUGAAUAAGGGGAGGGCAAGCCUGGUGUCAGCCGCCGCGGUAAUACCAGCUCCUCGAGUGGUUGGGACGAUUAUUGGGUUUAAAGCGUUCGUAGCCGGCCGGAAAAGUUCUCCGUUAAAUCCAACGAUUCAAUCGUUGGGCUGCGAGGAAUACUCUCCGGCUUGGGGGCGGGGGAUGCCGACGGUAGUCUCGGGGUAGGGGCGAAAUCCUAUAAUCCCGAGAGGACCACCAGUGGCGUAGGCGGUCGACUAAAACGCGCCCGACGGUGAGGGACGAAAGCUGGGGGAGCGAACGGGAUUAGAUACCCCGGUAGUCCCGGCUGUAAACGAUGCAGGCUAGGUGUUGGGACGGCUACGGGCCGUCUCAGUGCCGCAGGGUAACCAUUAAGCCUGCC
rnacentral:rRNA from 1 species